UACGGAGGAUCCAAGCGUUAUCCGGAAUUACUGGGCGUAAAGAGUUGCGUAGGUGGCAUAGUAAGUAGAUAGUGAAAGCGUGUGGCUCAACCAUAUAUACAUUAUCUAAACUGCUAAGCUCGAGGAUGAGAGAGGUUAUUGGAAUUCCCUGUGUAGGAGUGAAAUCCGUAGAUAUAGGGAGGAACACCGAUGGCGUAGGCAGAUAACUGGCUCAUUCCUGACACUAAGGCACGAAAGCGUGGGGA
rnacentral:rRNA from 1 species